rnacentral:rRNA from 1 species
UAGGGAAUCUUCCACAAUGGACGAAAGACUGAUGGAGCAACGCCGCGUGAGUGAAGAAGGGUUUCGGCUCGUAAACUCUGUUGUUAAAGAAGAACAUAUCUGAGAGUAACUGUUCAGGUAUUGACGGUAUUUAACCAGAAAGCCACGGCUAACUACGUGCCAG